UACAGAGGGUGCGAGCGUUAAUCGGAAUUACUGGGCGUAAAGCGUGCGUAGACGGCUAUCUAAGUCGGGUGUGAAGUCCCCGGGCUCAACCUGGGAAUUGCAUUCGAGACUGAAUAGCUAGGGUACGGUAGAGGGAAGCGGAAUUUCCGGUGUAGCGGUGAAAUGCGUAGAUAUCUGGAGGAACACCGGUGGCGAAGGCGGCAUCCUGGACCGGUAUUGACGCUGAGGAGCGAAAGCCAGGGGAGCAAACGGG
rnacentral:rRNA from 1 species